rnacentral:rRNA from 1 species
GCAGAGCACUCCUACGGGGGGCAGCAGUGGGGAAUAUUGCACAAUGGGGGAAACCCUGAUGCAGCCAUGCCGCGUGUGUGAAGAAGGCCUUCGGGUUGUAAAGCACUUUCAGUAGGGAGGAAGGUAGUGUAGUUAACACCUGCACUAUUUGACGUUACCUACAGAAGAAGCACCGGCUAACUCCGUGCCAGCAGCCGCGGUAAUACGGAGGGUGCGAGCGUUAAUCGGAAUUACUGGGCGUAAAGCGCAUGCAGGCGGCCUGUUAAGUCAGAUGUGAAAGCCCCGGGGCUUAACCUCGGAAUUGCAUUUGAAACUGGCAGGCUAGAGUCUUGUAGAGGGGGUAGAAUUUCAGGUGUAGCGGUGAAAUGCGUAGAGAUCUGAAGGAAUACCAGUGGCGAAGGCGGCCCCCUGGACAAAGACUGACGCUCAGAUGCGAAAGCGUGGGGAGCAAACAGGAUUAGAUACCCUGGUAG